rnacentral:rRNA from 1 species
CUUGCAAACUAAAGAUGGCGACCGGCGCACGGGUGAGUAACACGUAUCCAACCUGCCGAUAACUCGGGGAUAGCCUUUCGAAAGAAAGAUUAAUAUCCGAUGGUAUAUUAAAACCGCAUGGUUUUACUAUUAAAGAAUUUCGGUUAUCGAUGGGGAUGCGUUCCAUUAGUUUGUUGGCGGGGUAACGGCCCACCAAGACUACGAUGGAUAGGGGCUCUGAGAGGAAGGUCCCCCACAUUGGAACUGAGACACGGUCCAA